CCUCUGCGUGAGCGUGCCCAUCCUGCAGCGACAGUUGCGGCCGCUCAUCGUCACCCUGGUCUACGCCAAUCAACAGCCGCGGCAGGUGCGGAUGGGGUUCAGCGUGGAGAGCGGCUCAUCGGUGGCCGACUUCAAGGCGGUGAUCGCGGCCGACACGGGCCUGGAGCCGGGCCGGCUGCUGCUCUGCCAGCUCGACGACGCCGGCUUCACCCAGACGCUGCACGACGCCGACGCCGUGUGGACGAUCGGU